rnacentral:tRNA from 1 species
GCCCUCGUAGUUCAACGGAUAGAAUACCUCCCUCCGAAGGAGGUGGUUGAGGUUCAAUUCCUCACGAGGGCACCA